AUUGAACGCUGACGGAAGGCCUAACACAUGCAAGUCGAACGAGUUGCGGACGGGUGCGUACUGGCUGGGAAACUGCCUGAUGGAGGGGGAUAACUGCUGGAAACGGUUGCUAAUACCGCCUACCCUCAGUUGUGCCCAGAUGGGAUUAGCUUGUCGGUGGGGUAACGGGUCAUCAAUGCGUAGAGACCUAGCUAGUCGGAGAGGAUGACCAGGAACACGUGAACUUAGACACGGUGCUGACUCCGACGAGAGGCAGCAGUGGGGAAUAUUGGACAAUGGGCGCAAGCCUGAUGCAGCCGUGCCGCUUGUAUGAAGAAGGCCUUCGGGUUGUAAAGUACUUUCGGCGGGGAGGCGUUACCCACAGAGGAAGCACCGGCUAAGACGGUGCCAGCAGCCGCGGUAAUAC
rnacentral:rRNA from 1 species